UACAGAGGGUGCGAGCGUUGCUCGGAAUUAUUGGGCGUAAAGCGCGCGUAGGCGGGAUGGCAAGUCGGGUGUGAAAGCCCUCAGCUCAACUGAGGAAGUGCGCCCGAAACUACUGUUCUUGAGUACUGGAGAGGGUGGCGGAAUUCCCGGUGUAGAGGUGAAAUUCGUAGAUAUCGGGAGGAACACCAGUGGCGAAGGCGGCCACCUGGCCAGAUACUGACGCUGAGACGCGAAAGCGUGGGGAGCAAACAGG
rnacentral:rRNA from 1 species